rnacentral:rRNA from 1 species
CAGCAGCCACGGUAAUACGAAGGGGGCUAGCGUUGCUCGGAAUGACUGGGCGUAAAGGGCGCGUAGGCGGUCACGAUAGUCAGAUGUGAAAUUCCUGGGCUUAACCUGGGGACUGCAUUUGAUACUGUGUGGCUUGAGUAUGGCAGAGGGGGGUGGAAUUCCGCGUGUAGCAGUGAAAUGCGUAGAUAUGCGGAGGAACACCGAUGGCGAAGGCAGCCCCCUGGGCCAAUACUGACGCUCAUGCACGAAAGCGUGGGGAGCAAACAGGAUUAGAUACCCCGGUAGUCCCUGUCUCUUAUAC